rnacentral:rRNA from 1 species
UGAACGCUGGCGGCAGGCCUAACACAUGCAAGUCGAGCGGAUGAAGGGAGCUUGCUCCUGGAUUCAGCGGCGGACGGGGGAGUAAUGCCUAGGAAUCUGCCUGGUAGUGGGGGAUAACGUCCGGAAACGGGCGCUAAUACCGCAUACGUCCUGAGGGAGAAAGUGGGGGAUCUUCGGACCUCACGCUAUCAGAUGAGCCUAGGUCGGAUUAGCUAGUUGGUGGGGUAAAGGCCUACCAAGGUGACGAUCCGUAACUGGUCUGAGAGGAUGAUCAGUCACACUAGAACUGAGACACGGUCCAGAAUCCUACGGGAGGCAGCAGUGGGGAAUAUUGGACAACGGGCGAAAGCCUGAUCCAGCCAUGCCGCGUGUGGGAAGAAGGUCUUCGGAUUGUAAAGCACUUUAAGUUGGGAGGAAGGGCAGUAGGUUAAUACCUUGCUGUUUUGACGUUACCAACGGAAUAAGCACCGGCUAACUUCGUG